UACGUAUGGUGCAAGCGUUAUCCGGAAUGACUGGGUGUAAAGGGAGCGUAGACGGUUGUACAAGUCUGAUGUGAAAGCCCACGGCUCAACUGUGGGAGUGCAUCGGAAACUGUAGAACUAGAGUAUCGGAGAAGCAAGUGGAAUUCCUAGUGUAGCGGUGAAAUGCGUAGAUAUUAGGAGGAACACCAGUGGCGAAGGCGGCUUGCUGGACGAAAACUGACGUUGAGGCUCGAAAGCGUGGGGAGCAAACAGG
rnacentral:rRNA from 1 species